rnacentral:rRNA from 1 species
GACGAACGCUGGCGGCGUGCUUAACACAUGCAAGUCGAACGACGACGACCUAGCUUGUUCGGUCUGAUUAUUGGCGAACGGGUGAGUAACACGUGUGCAACCUGCCCUUCACUCUGGGAUAACCUCGGGAAAUCGGAGCUAAUAUCGGAUAUCAGCUCCCGUCGCAUGGCGGGCGUUGGAAAGUCUGUCGUUGAAGGAUGGGCUCGCGGCCUAUCAGUUUGUUGGUGAGGUAGUGGCUCACCAAGGCGAUGACGGGUAGCCGGCCUGAGAGGGCGACCGGCCACACUGGUACUAAGAGACGGCCCAGACUGCUACGGGGGGCAGCAGUGGGGAAUAUUGCACAAUGGGCGAGAGCCUGAUACGGCGACGCCGGGUGAGGGAAGACGGCCUUCGGGUUGUAAACCUCUUUCAGCAGGGAAGAAGCGAAAGUGACGGUACCUGCAGAAGAAGCGCCGGCUAACUACGUG